ACGAACGCUGGCGGCGUGCUUAACACAUGCACGUCGAACGGAAAGGCCCUGCUUUUGUGGGGUGCUCGAGUGGCGAACGGGUGAGUAACACGUGAGUAACCUGCCCUUGACUUUGGGAUAACUUCAGGAAACUGGGGCUAAUACCGGAUAGGAGCUCCUGCUGCAUGGUGGGGGUUGGAAAGUUUCGGCGGUUGGGGAUGGACUCGCGGCUUAUCAGCUUGUUGGUGGGGUAGUGGCUUACCAAGGCUUUGACGGGUAGCCGGCCUGAGAGGGUGACCGGCCACAUUGGGACUGAGAUACGGCCCAGACUCCUACGGGAGGCAGCAGUGGGGAAUAUUGCACAAUGGGCGGAAGCCCGAUGCAGCAACGCCGCGUGCGGGAUGACGGCCUUCGGGUUGUAAACCGCUUUCGCCUGUGACGAAGCGUGAGUGACGGUAAUGGGUAAAGAAGCACCGGCUAACUACGUG
rnacentral:rRNA from 1 species